CCUACGGGUGGCAGCAGUGAGGAAUAUUGGUCAAUGGCCGAAAGUCUGAACCAGCCAAGUAGCGUGAGGGAUGACUGCCCUAUGGGUUGUAAACUUCUUUUAUGUGGGGAUAAAGUGUUCCCCGUGUGGACUUUUGUAUGUACCCUAUGAAUAAGGAUCGGCUAACUCCGUGCCAGCAGCCGCGGUAAUACGGAGGGGCCGGGCGUUAUCCGGAUUUAUUGGGUUUAAAGGGAGCGUAGGUGGAUUUUUCAGUCAGGUGUGAAAGUUUGCGGUGCAACCGUUAAAUUGCAGUUGAAACUGGAAGUCUUGAGUACAGGAGAGGUGGGCGGAAGUCGUGGUGUAGCGGUGAAAUGCUUAGAUAUCACGAAGAACCCCGAUUGCGAAGGCAGCUAACUGGAGUGCAACUGACACUGAGGCUCGAAAGUGUGGGUAUCAAACAGGAUUAGAUACCCUUGUAGUC
rnacentral:rRNA from 1 species